UGUCUCGAGAUCUUAACCUCCCGGGGUCUGUCUCACACGGGAGAGCGCACUUUCCCGGCGCUGCGGAGUUCCUCCGUGGAAGGGCAAGUGUUUUCACCCAGCGGUUUUAUUUCUGAGCCGGGAACGUGGUGUUACGGGGGCGCGUUAGGCUCUGACGGUUGCAUUUGGUAAAAGAAGCGGGGAAGGCGUUCUCCUAAAAGUCUUUUAACUUUUAGAAGUUUAUUUUCAGGAUGUUUGUGAAAGAAAGGAGCCAUGAACUGACGAGGGAAGGAUGUGGGUGUGUGUUGAGUCACAGAAGUUGGAGAUUUUGGCAGAGGAACCAUGACUCUCUGCCUCUCUGAUGAUUUCUGUGCUACUGAGUUCAAAACACCUGCCUUAUUCCAAGAACACAAUAUGAGAUCCAUCAGUUGAAGUAUUUGGAAGACUUAUGGACUAUAUAGAUAGUAUAUCAUGGCUUAAAUGGAUUGUGUUACAGUUCC